UACGUAGGUGGCAAGCGUUGUCCGGAUUUACUGGGCGUAAAGGGCGUGCAGGCGGUUUGUUAAGUCUAGGGUGAAAGCUCCCGGCUCAACUGGGAGAGGUCCUUGGAUACUGGCAGACUUGAGGAGGGUAGAGGUAGAGUGGAAUUCCCGGUGUAGUGGUGAUAUGCGUAGAUAUCGGGAGGAACACCUGUGGCGAAAGCGGCUCUCUGGGCCGGUACUGACGCUGAGGAGCGAAAGCGUGGGGUAGCAAAACAGG
rnacentral:rRNA from 1 species